CUAAUGUGAAGCAGCAGAGUGCUGUGACAGCGUAGGCAUUUAUUUGAGUAAAGACUGCUGCUGUAGCUGGAAGGACGCAGCAGCCCUCACCAACGCUCUGUCAUUCACUGCCUCCGCCCCAACCACGCCACAACCACGACACAGGGAGACACCUGGAGGAGGAGGUACACAGGACGCACACCAGGCGGAACCACUAUGCCUUUCACAUGCCAUCAGCAAUACGACUUUCGGAAUACACUGUUUUUUUUACCUUACCUUUCAGUCAGUCUCUCUACACCCCUCCUCUUCUCAUCCUGCUCUAUCCAUCUACUCCCCUCCUCUGCUCCUCUCUUCCUCCGCUUCUGUUUGAAGGGGGAUUCAUGCCAAGAGAGAGCGUGGCUUGAAUGAAUAUCAGCUGCUGGAUCUCUCCAGGUUAGACAGAAGGAAGAAAGUACCAGUAGAGGACUCAAAGGGCAUCCUCUGCACAUCUCUGCACCCCCAGGACCUCCAUCUCUGUCUCCUUGGGACUCCUCCUGCCCUCCUCGCUCCGCAGGGGUCCUGCCCAUCCCUGUGAGCCUCAGCCAGGGUAAACAAUCUAGUGGAUGUGUUGAUAUUGUGUUACUGAGAGGAAGAAGAGUUGUGUUCAAGUCUAGGCCUCGAGCUGUUUUGAUUCUUCCUCUUCCUUGCACACAGCUGAAUUCCAAGAGUUAAAUGGAGUAAAGUCAUUGGAUUUUGGGUUUUGUUUUUCAUUUUACUUUGCUGCUGCCCUCGCCGCACUGAAAAGAAACCAAAUAAACUAAACACUUGAGAGACCCUGUACAACUCCAUGACUCUGCAUGCUAACUGGACAUCUCCUUGCACCGGCAGACUGCAGACUGACGGCUCUAUUUAAGGAGCGGCUGAAGAGGGUGAACAGCAGGAAGAGGUUGAACGUCUGAGUGGCAGUAAUGUCUUUCCCUGACGGUGGGAGAGCGGAGCAGGGGUGACAAGGCUGGCAGGGGAGUCCGGUGCGUA